rnacentral:rRNA from 1 species
GACGUAGGGCGCGAGCGUUGUCCGGAAUUAUUGGGCGUAAAGAGCUCGUAGGCGGUUUGUUGCGUCGGCUGUGAAAUCCCGAGGCUCAACCUCGGGUCUGCAGUCGAUACGAGCAAACUAGAGUGUUGCAGGGGAGACUGGAAUUCCUGGUGUAGCGGUGAAAUGCGCAGAUAUCAGGAGGAACACCGAUGGCGAAGGCAGCUCGCUGGGACGGUACUGACGCUGAGGCGCGAAAGCGUGGGGAGCGAACAGG